AGCUGCAAACAGAAAUUUCAUUCCUGAGAUACUCUGAUCCCCCUCUUCAUUCACAGAAAUAACUGCAAGGUUUAAAAUAAAUGUAGACUCAUCCUAUUGAGCUAAAGUGCUUUCGUAUAUAUAACAAGAUUCUGGCCUCACUUUUUUUUUUUUUUUUUUUUUUUUUUUUUGUCAGUGACACAUUAAAGGCUUAUUUCUGAUUAGAUUAGACUUGAUAGACGCUGGUAUAAAAUCCUCGUGUUAUUUUAGCAUCUCCUGUCAUUUCAGGGUUAGAGGAGGUCUAACAAGGAACAUUAUUUAGGGAAGUUCCUCUUAAUAUGAAACUGAAGUCCUACCCAUACCACUUGUUUGUAGACAUUGACAGCAAACUACACCAUAACUCAAGCUUCCCUCUACAUAUUCUUACCUCAUUCUAAGCCCAAACUUGAAGUUGUUGCAAUCAAAGCAAUCAAAAGCAAUCCAGAAAAGGCAUUCCUAGCUAUACUUGGAAGUUGAUCUCUGCCAUUAAGAAAAUACAUAGCAACUCUGUGAAGAGGAAAAGCAUACUAAAAUAGCCUUAGCAUAUUAUGCAAUACAUUUACUUUGUAUUUAAAUAUUUCUUUCUAAUGGCUAUGCUAUUUUUUUACUGGGAAAUGAGCUGAAGCCUACACUUUUGAACAGAUAAUUCAAUCCUCAACCCCAUUCCAAACCAAAUCCAAAUAAUAAUUUUGUAGACACAGAAGAUAUAGGUAAUGCUGGUCAGUUAUUACAGUCAUGUCUGCUUUUCCAGCAGUUUCAGUAAUUAGUCCCAUCUUGAAUGAAAACAUACAUUUUGUUGAAUAUGAGCAGAUUUUUGAAUACUCAUCUGAAAAAACCCCAACAACUUCCACCAGUCAAUUCUGAAUUAUAAUCUUCCAUAAAAGGAUUUUAUAUUUAUCUCCAGAAGAAACCCACAACUUGGUCUUCAACAGCUGAGGUCCAUCCUGAGCCUGGUCAUAACCACUAGGUAGGGCAAUGUAUAUUUAUUUAUUCUCCCCACUCCCCUGCCUUAUUUUUUGAUUGUCAGGUUUAGUCAGGCAUAAAAAUGAAGCUUUUGUGCAGUCACAAUGUCUCGUGAUUUUUAAUGUAGCACUUAAUUUUGUUUGUCUGCAGAAAUUGAUUGUUAAGUUAGGGUUUGCUCAGAUAACAGGACAUUUCACUCAGCCAUCACAUUUUGACAUUUGAUAAGUAAUUAACUAAAGGAAAGAACAGCUGUUAAGAAAAUGCUUAGUGACAGCAUGUAGAUGAUUUAAGGCCAAUUCAAGAACCGCAUAAGUCCCAUUUAAAUAUAAAAUGUCAUGAGAUGCACAGUAAAAAAUCUACAUGAUGUCUUUCCUUUGCAGUCUAACAAAGAAUUAGCCUUCAUCAUCCUGAAUAAAUGAAUGUGCCAUCAAAUACUCCUGUCAUCUAGGAUGGGAAGCUUAGAAUCCUGUAUUCUAAAGAACAACCUUAUGACAAAUAGUAAACACAAAAUACAAUUUUGUGGCUAAUUGUGAAGAAAACCAUUUUUGGAAUGCCUGGGCAGUACAAGCGUGAAUCACAGCAGCAAGCCACUGCUUCUGUCUCCCAACAUGUAUCAUGGAACUAUUUUCUUCCAACCCUUUUGUAGUACAGUACAUUCUACAUAAUGAAUCAUUUUCAUGCAGAAAUAGAAACAAGUGAUGACUAUGUUCACUUCACAACAGAGAAGAAAGGACUGGCAUCCCAUAAUUAAAUUUCCAGGUUUAGUGGCAUUGUAACCAAUCGCUGCACACAUGGCCUUGAGUGUCAGCUGUAGGGAGGUUAAUAGACCCCUAACACAUGUUUCCUAACAAAAUAUGAUUUUUUAAAAUGUCAAAUUCUGGUCCUUGGGGAAGAUCCAAAGUAACACAUUGAUAUUUAGUGCCAUUUUGGAUGUUGUAACACUGAUAAUGCCAUACCUAAGAGCAAAAUGAAAUGCUGCUGUUCACGACACAGAGCUACGUGCCUACCAUCCCUCUGAAGGGAAUGAGGGGAACAAAGCACCUGGGAAUUGGAUGUACAAUCUACAGCAUUCUGGGGUGUGGGAGGUGAGAUGUUUGUUCAGGCACUUUGUUCAUCUCUUCCAUCAAUCCUAUGUCACACAUGGAUGCUGCUGAGCUGUGUCUCCCAGACAUGAGCUGCUUGGAGCCGGAGUUCUCAGGAGUAAAGGACCAAAUCUGACCUAGUAACCCUGCUGGGAGGCUGGGAAUAUUUACUCACACUUACUGCCCUCCUAACAUGGCUGCUCAGGUUCUCUCCAGUCUGCAGCACUCACCUGCUUGGGAUGUGGGCAGGCAAUGCCUAAUCCUUCCUGCAGAACAUCCCAUAGGGAUUCCCUUAGGUGCCAAGCUCAGCCCACAAUAAAUAUCCAUUUUGUGGAGCAUAGUAAUGACUGAAGACUUUGCCAUUUUCCAGCUGCUCAGCAUGGCCCAUCAUCUGGUUCUGCUGGAAGAAGAGACUGCAGUCACACCUGCAUUUUCAUCCUAGCAAAUUCAGUCAGGUAAGCUGAAGACACCAGCUUUCAAAUCCCAGUCUCUCUGUCUGAAGUGACUGCCCCUUCUGUAAUACUCCAGUGGUAAGGCAACUUGAGUAUCCUUCAGUGAGAAUACAUCAAGCUGCAGGUUUGGGGGCCCUUUAUUCUUUUGCCUUUUUUGCUUUACUGGGACGAGUGUGACUAGAGGGCUAUUCAGUGGGGUGCCAAACCCCCGGAUGGGAAUUACAGUUACACAGUUGAUAUUCCCUGUGCAGUGAUAGUUGACUAUUUAAUAAACAACAUACGCAAUAUAUUGACUGGAGUAGUAAAAUGGAGCUGCAGUGGCCUUGAGCUUGAUCUCUUGCAGUAAAUCAGGAAUUGUAUUACAGAGGCCAGAGAAGUCAUGCUACUACUGAAGAGAUUAGAGUUGGCCUCAAUACUGAAAGGGCUGAAGGCAUUUUAAUUUUAUGGAAUUGUGAUUUAAGCAAGAAGGAAGUUUUACAGAUUUUUUUCUUCCACAUGGACAUGAUAUGCAUCCAAUGCACUCACUCCUGUUUUCAGCAGCAGAAAUAUUCAUCCUUUGGGCUCAUCUACAAUCUGAAUUCAUCUUAGCCACACCGCCAAAACACACCUCCUUGUCAAUCUGGCAGAUACUCUUAGUUCUUUUAAACCCUUAGAAGGGAAGAAGUAAAACACUGUUUAUCUUGUCUGUUUUUUAGAGGAUGGUUAACACAUAUUGCUUUUCCCUAUGCACACCAGAAACAACCUUCAAGGCUGAAUAAUCACAAAAAGAAACACUAAAGUGGUUUAGUAGCCAUCUGAAGAUAUUUUGGCUGUAAAUCCCAUAAACAUGAGCUGAUGAGUUGCCCCUUUUUCAGCAGCCAUCUCAUUGCAAUUAAAAAGAAAAUUCCUGCAAUACAGUUCUUUGCAAGCUGUGCUUAAAAGACCAAUGUCCUGGUGUGCCACAGAGCACAAAAGCCACAGGUCUAAGUCAUGGGGGUAACAGGACCUCCCACAUCAGCUGAGAUGAAGUUGCUAUUGAUUGUCAGGGUAUUAAUAGAUGAACUUAUCACACCUUUUUUGCAACAAUUUAAGGAGUUACUAUCACCAUAUUUGUGGUUGCCAUGCUCACAGUGAUGUCAAGAGAAAGAGCUCUGUGCCUCACCAGCUUCAGUGUCAAGUCUGUUGGUUUAGGUAGAUUUUCACUUCACCUGCAGUUUAAAGCAAGAAGCAAGCUCUGGCAGUAGAGCAGCUGGGGUGGGGCACACCUCCUCUUCUUCUGGUUUUGCUGUGGAAAGGAGCAACUUCCAAGACUGUCAAGAAGUGGAGGACAUAACUCCAUAGGCCACCACAGAGCCAUCCACUGGAUCUCAUUUAGCAGUGCCUCUGUGGCAAGUUGGAGUUUUUUUAAAUAAGGCAGCCCCCCAUAGCUCUCUGGAUUGCCAGCUCAGCUAGUGCUAAGCUGAUUUGAAUUACUUCUCAUGUGCUCAGGUCACACAUAGAGCUCCUAUGCCUCAGCAAACACAUGGCAAUUUAUGUACAUGUUUUGCAUUUCAGAUGUCCAUGAAUAUUUUAUUAGUGGAAAUAUUCAUUUGCAUAGUACUUACUGAAGUAAAUUUUUGAGGUCCUUGGGACUGCAGAACAAAACAAACCACCUGGACUGAAAAAGAAGCAAUUAUAGAGAGUUAAGGCACUCUUGACAUGGUUUCUGUUUUAUCAAUAAUGUCUACCAGUCUUUACUUUGAAAUAACUGGCUGUCAUUAUGAGUACACUCAGGCAGUGUAGCCAAAUUUACUGUAAAAUGAAGGACCUGUGUAUGUGACAAGGCACAAACAAGCCAGAGUGUUGGAUUUUAGAUAGCUCUGGUCUGAAAAGAUCUGAAUGCACAGUGAUAUCUACCAGGGCUGUGUGUCUGCAGAAGCCUUAUUUUCCAGCUGCUGAGUGAGGACAGCCUCUAAAGUAAAUUAGUAUUUAUGUCCCAGUUCAGCAAAGUUCAUGCUUGAUUUUUAGCAUAGGCUUCACUUCUUACUUAAGUUAAUCACACACUUAAUUGCUUUAAUAAAUGGGGACAAAAUGAAGCAUAUCCUUAAGAACAUAAUCAGGACCUACCCCACAGAUGGUCGAGACUGAGGGCUUGAUCUAGAUACCUCUGAAAUCAAGAAGCACAUAAAUGGGAAUCACAGGUGUGCUUCAAUGUUGUAGUACAUAAAUCAGUUUUCCUAUCCCAUAAUUUUCAUCUGAUUUACUUGCAUGCAAACCUAGGAGCUAGAAGAGAGCUGAGGGUUUAAUGCCCUGGUAUACUGUUAAUACCUUGGAAGCAAGUCAGCAGGGACAUCACGAUGACAGGACCCUCAAGCUACCAAUACUUCCCAGACUUCCACAUGACAGAGAAGAAAAAUAUGGUGGAACUGAAGGCAGAAACUGACUCCUGGUUAUGGCCCUUGCAUAGGUAUUUUUCUAUGGCCCAUCCUCUUGCAUAGGUAUUUUUCAGGGUUCUGUUCUUGCUUAAGCACAGCUCCCCAUAAAGCUAAGGCUCCACUGAUGUUCUAAAGCACUUUUUAUAAUCAAGUCAUUGCACAAAACUGCUCUACUAUAAUAGAGAAUGUUUUGGGGGGAAAAAACAGCUUUAAGAUGAAAAUUAAGACGUACGUCUUCAAACAAAAAUAGAAGAAUUAUAAAUGGCAAAUAGCCAAAAACCUCUUUGGUAAGUUAAUUUAAAUUGAGCUGAGAAUGUCAGAUUUAUCACUGUGGGUAGCUUGACUGAGUGGCUCAAAAUUCAUAUGCCACUUUUGUUUUCAUCUCCAUAUUACUGAGAUUGCUGCACUGUGCCAAACAAGCAAGCCUGGAAAAGAAUUUCCUUGCUAGGAUCUACUUUGAGGAUGCAAGUUAGCAGAGGAGAUAGACCCUCUCUGUGAUGAGUGAAUUAGAAUACACACAUACUAUGAGCAACAGUAAGGAUCUGAAAUGGGGCUGUUUUCUCCAUGGCCACAGGUUCAUGUAGGCUGUAUUCAGUCUUCUGUAGGUGCCCUGAACAGUCUUCUAAGCUUCACUGAAGAGGAAAAUGAAAUCUCUGUUCAAGAGGUGAAAAGCCUUUUUGCUGUGUACCUGUCACACUAGACAGUCUCCUGUUCCCUAUGCUGUCUCAAGCACAAAGAUUCAGGGCAGAGUACUGCCCACAAGGAUAGACAACUUCUGAACAGUGAAGAUAAAAUGAAGUUAUCUCACAAGAAUGACUGUGGACCCAAAAAGGUCAGAAUAGCUGGAGUUCAUCAAACAAUUAAACACACCAGCUCUGUAUUUUAAAUAGAAAAUAAGACCAAGAGGAGGGAGGAUCAGCAGUGUCUGUGAUUUUCACAAAAACUCAAAAAGUAAAUAAGUAGAUUUAUUUGGAGAUUUCUUGCAUCCACAAAAGGGAGACUGGUGGUGAGAACUGAAGAAAUAGGACUAAUAUAAAAAAAAAAAAAUGAACCUUUAACUACAGCACUCAAAUGUCUCCCUGGGGGAAUUAAAAAAACCCAACCAACCUACUUCUGCACAUGAAAAUUGUGAAAACACAAAAGCAAAAUAUUCUGAGCAACAUAUUUUAAAUCUCAGAUGGUAUCCUCCACUUGAGUUGGGCCUUUUUUCCUCAAAGAGGAAAGGCAGCUUUUAACUUGCCAAUCAUCCUAAAGGGGAAAUUUCAUUGCUGAUCUAGUUCAACUCCAGCAGACAUUACAGGUCAUGUUUAGCUACAAAAUAACAAUUCCUAGAACCUCCACCCUUUAACUCUGAAAAUGAGCCACAGCUACUGUUUCUCAUCUGUGCAUAAAUGUUUACCUUGUCUUCACAACAUAAGGUGCUGGGAUUUCUUCAGGGUGCUUUUAAACCAGUAUGUUGCUAACAUUGUCCCUGUCAUGCCUCCAGAAAUAAGAAGAGAGCACACAGUAGCACUUAGUAGGAAGAUGCAAAUUUGUGGUUUACAGAUAGACAGACAACCUUCCUCUGCCUUCUCCUUUGAAACUGUGUGUGGGCUUCACUUGUUGAGCUGGGCUUCUUGCAGGCAAUGGCACAUGGCAUAACUACCAUUAGCACUGGCUGAUGGAACAGGUGAGUUUCUUGUGCAGUUUAUUCUCUAAAGGAAGAUUGGAAAUGGAAACUCUCUAUUUGUCUCUAUUUUAAUUAGUGAAAAGCUGAUGAAAGCACAACCCAAUGUGGCAUCCUAAUUGUUUCAUCAGUGAAAUUAUAAAUAGAUUGUUACAAAAAUUAUUGAAAUAGCAAAACAAUCCAGAGCUGUGAAAAGCUGACCCAAGCCUCUUGUCUGAACAGGCUAGAGUAUUCUUCAGAGCUGUACUAGAUUGGAAGUGAAAUUUUGCCCUUUGGGAUGAUUGGCAAGUUAGAAUCUGCCUUUCACCUUUGAAGAAAAAAGGCUCAACUCAAGUGAGGAUACCAUUUACAUGACUCCUUUCAUCCUGCUAAACAAACAGUGAAUGGAUGUAACUCUCAGCAUUUUUGGUGAAAACAGGCUGCUUUGGCUCGGUGCAAAAGAGAGGGCUGAAGACAUAAACAUACACGUUUGAAUAGAGGAUGCAUUUCCCCCAUGCUUCUGAUAGAAAAUGUAAUUGCAUCAGAUGUUCUCUGAAAACUGCCAGUUUGCUUAAGAACAUUCAGCAUGUUACCUCAAUAGCUGCUUGCCUACACUUCACAGACAGAAUGCAAGGAGGUACUUUUCUCUCAAAUGCAGAUGAGAAAUAAGGUCUCAGGCUUGAUAAUACUUCCAAUCUGCUCCACAAGCAAAUGACUGAUUUUAAUUAUCUUUCAACUGCUAACAUGGAAGCUGACUUCUCUUUAGAUAGAGGCAGCCAAGAAAGCAAGGACAAUGCAUAUGAACCCCUUUCCCUGUUUUUCCCAGUUUCAUUGCUUGUGUAGUGAGGAUUACUUUUUAAGAAGAGAAAAACAGCAAAAACAUUUUUUACAUCUCUUCAGUAGCCAGAGAAUUUAUCAGAAUCUUGGCAAUAACCCAUGUUCAAGUGUAAUUUAUGCCAGAUAAAUGAUUAAUCUAUAUCAUGGCAAUUUAGGGACCUCCAGCUUGGACCACAUGAAGAUUUCUUCAGGGUAUGUGGAGAUGGGUCUCCUUAGCUAAUGCUUCCUUGGGGGAAGGCAAAACCAGGGAAAUUCAAGGGAAAGCAAAAGUUGACAGAGGAGAUUACUUUGUAGCAUUCCUUCCAAGGCCCAGCACAGAACCACAAAAGGAUUUUAAAGGUUUUAGGGAAGCUACUGCCUGCAGAAACCCCCACAGCAUCAAUUCAGUUAUGCUGCUAUGCUGGAAGGGGAAAAGCUAGCAGAGAGGUGUAACUUCAUGAUUAGCCUGGGCAUCACAGUCCAUUUCAAAAAUGAAGGAACUUGUCCUGCUGGUAGAAUAAUGAAUCAUUAAAACUACAAGAAGAAUUGCUAAAGUGCUCCUUUGCUCUUGGCUUUCAGAUGAACUUCCAAACUGGCUUUUAAUCUGCCUGGUGGGGAUGACUUCCUCAGAGAGUCAACAGAAGACAAUCCUCUAAUACUUUUUAUCUUGGCAGCCUUUUAAAGUGCAAUGCAUGUAUAAAUAAAUGCCAUUAUUAACUCCAUGGAAAAAUGCCUAGCAUUCUCAGAGUUGAAAAUGCAAAUCAAUUAUGCAGUGUCUUAAUUCUAGCAUCUUUAAAAAAUGAAAAAUUCUAAUGACAUAUUACAUUGCUUUGUGAAUCAAUUCCAAAUUUUUGGAAAUUGUCACACAUCCCCAUUCAUUAAGAAGCUUUAUUUUUAAGCAUAUUCAAGACAUUUUAGAUCAAUGUAAAGACUACACUAACCAUAGAGCUUUAGUGUAGACCUUAAAUUAUGAUUUUCCUAGUCUGUCUGUCUAAUUUGGCAGGAAUAAAAGACUCUGCAUUUCCACUUCAGACACGGGGAGCUUCACAGGUCUUUCAAAGGCCUCAGGUUUAAUUAGUCUUUGAAAAAGAGUGGUUAUUUAAUAGGAAAAAAAUUAUGGUAGUCAGAGUCUUAAAGACCUUAAAAAUAGAGGCAACUGUGAAACCCCACAGCCUUCCUGGGGUUGCAAAUUUUUUACUGGUUCAGGAAUCACAACAGAGUGGGAAGAUAGGAGAGAGCUGAUCCUCUUUUGCCCGUUUUAUUUCAAGAGUUGUGUAACUUAGCAGGGUGAGAAAACAUCUCUAUUUAGUUUAAAAAUAUAAAUUACCUGUCACUCCAGAGAGAGACAACUACUCUGCCAUUCCAGACACAAAAAGCUGGCAAAAAUUCCUUCUCUCAAGAGCCAUUAGUAGCACUUUUCUGGCUGCCAAAAAGCAUGUGCCUUUUAAGAAGGUACCACAGGACCAGGGAUGUGCUGUAGUGAUGAUAGUCAGCAACUAUCCAAAUUUCAAGCCUGUCAGACAGAAAUACCUGUCUGACCUCUGAGGCAUUCCUUGUCCCAAGGAACCAGGCAGCACAGGAUGGUGAUACCUAAAUGACUUCAGGGAGAAGUACCGAAUGGGAAGCUGCUAUUGCUUGCUGCUCAGGGUGUCAAUUACUACUGAUAAAAGUACUGGUUUACUAAUAGGGAAGUUUAACUCCUGAGCAAGUACAUGCCUACCCAAAGGUCUGAUCUGCAAGAGGAAGAUUAUGCAAUUGGAACAAUCUAAAUUCUCUAUUUCAAUCUAAAUUCCAACUUUGGGGGCCAUUAGAAAUGUAUAAACCCAGCUACCACCCUUGCCAUUUGAGAACACCCUGCAGAAACAAGGCAGGGGUUCCAGCCCUUAGAGUGUUGCUACUACUCAGAAAAUAGUGGUGGAUUCAUCUUGCACCAAUUAUUAGACAUUUGCAUCAAACUUUUGUCUUCCUCUCAUGCUAUUCUCCUAAUUUUAUAUUCUUUCAGCCCCUUUCUUUUCCAUCUCCUUUUUUUCACUACAAUUUUCUGCUCAGCUCUUCCUGAAGCAGCCAAGUACCAGUGUGCAGACGCUGCAGAACACUGCAUGACAUCCUGUUUGAAUGGCAAGAUCUUGGAGCAGGAACUAUCUGCUACUCUGCAGACACAGUAAAAAGCAGACUCAUUCUUCAACAGCUUGAAGCUGAAACUCUCAAUAAUGUCAUCAGGAGCUAUUGUGUCACAUCACCCAAGUUGUGCAGGGAAUACACCUCAUCUUUAGGCUAUUACUGCUUAAGUCAUCUUUACUGAAUCUUCUUUGUCAAAGGUGUCCCAGUUGAUCUUUGCACAAUCUCUUGAACUGUAUCUCAGGACUCUCAAGUUCAGGACACUGAAAUAAAUGCUCUCUUCUCCAUAGCUCAUAUUUGAAAACACAUAGGAAUUAUUCUUCUAAGGAGCAGGUAGAAGGGAAUCAACCAUUUCAAUAUGCUAUUUUACAUCAUCCAAAGAUGACACUAUGACAUCAGACUUGCCCUUAGAGGAUACUGGACAACUAAGGUCCUCAUGGCUACUCCAGUAAUUUCUGUAUUUUCUUUAGAAACUUAGUGUAAGUCUUAAAACCCCUUUUUAGUGUAUACACAGCUAUCAACAACUGAAUUCUUCAAAAACAGAGUAAAUAGAAAACCUGACAAGCCAUCUAUUCUUGUAGGAGAAAACUUUUUUUCCAAAGCCAGAAACUGGAGCAGAUAUAAGCUAGUUCUCCUCAUUCCAAUCACAAACAUGUACUAAAUUAUAAAGGGAGUUAUAAAUAGAAAAGAGAACUCUCAAAUUCUCCGUCAUCUUUCUCCAUCCCAAAGACAAUUCAACCUCCUUUCCAAGGUUCUGUGAAGCAUAGGUAUAAAAUGUAGUACACGAAUUUCAGAAUUGUCUGAACCUUUUGGUUAAGAUGACAUUUUUUUCUUUAUACUCACAUUGCAUCCCCCAGAAUAUCAAUAUACAUUGCCAUCUCAAAACCUACUAUUCUCAUUGGUAAAAAAAGAUUACUUUUCAAGACUCAAUUUUACAGAAGUUUUGCAGAGCUGAAUGCUUUUAACUGAGAAGUCUGAUUUUAAAAACCGAGUUAAACUUAAUUGUCUAUUACAGCAUGAAGACUUCCAUAGAAAAGCCAUUUUUAAAAGCAGUACUUGAAGGAAAAAUUUUCAAGUGUCUCUAGUAUUUCCCACCCACCACCACUGGAAAUGGCCAGCAAGGAGAUUAUGGGAACUCCUCUUAGUUGCUCAACAGUUAGCAAACCAGUUUUUCUCUAAACUGGCCUGAGUCCAAUAGACACAGUAUAGUCCCAGAAGCGACACACACAAAUGCAGGAAAGCAGUAAAUGUAUUACUCAUGGUGCCCAGGUGGUUGGUGAACAAUCUCCAAGAGCAGCAGGCAUGGCUGCCUGAGCCCUGAGAGCCCAGAACAGCCAGGGUGCAUUGCCUGCAGCGGGGCCAGCAGCUGCACUCCUGCAUCACCUGCUCCUCUACCUUCUAAGCUAUAGUAUCACCCAAAUAGUAAGACUGAUCUGAUUAGCAGGCCCUUAAUCUUCACUAACCUUCUCCUUUAGCCAUUAGCUAUCAUUAAUUUAUUAAAUGUUCUUCUGACAGGCUGCAAAUUGUCCAGUUACCACAAUUACUCAUCCAGCCAUGCACUUCUCCCAUCAAAACUCCACAACCACAAGUGAUAAUGAGCAGCUUUUUCAGGAUGGCUCACCUACAACGCUGAGGUAGUGUCUUACUCCUGCCUGGUGAUUCCUAAAGCUACUAGGGAGUGUUAGAGACUGACUCUAAAACUUACCAGGCUGUGCCAUGCAACUGUGGAUCCUCUUUCACUGGAAGGGUCACCAGAUGAAGGUAGGGUUGGACAUAACAGUUAAGCCCAGGAAGCUAGCAGGAGCACUUCUGGGAAUCAUUUAGCUUGGCACAAACCUCUUGAGAUCACCUAGCCCAACUCCCUGCUCAAAGCAGGAGCUGCUGGAGACAUUUGCCCAGCAUGUCAUCAGCUGGGUUUUGAAUCUGCACAGAUUCCACACCUGUGUUUUACCACUUACUGUAAAAGAAGUCAUUUGUCCUGUUCAAAGAGAGUAUUUUCAAAUCUAGGCCCAUCUCCCCUUGCCAGUGGUGCUAAGAUUAAUCUGGCUGUCUUCAUUCCCUCCUCUCAGGGAUCACUAGGAUGUCCCCCUAGGCCUACACAGGGAAGCAUCUUUGGGCCUAAGAUCUCCCACCUCCAUGUUCAGCUUGGACUAAAACACCACCAGCUGUUUCACUGCACUGCUGUGCCACAAAAGCUUUUGUUUGAGCUGGAACAGAACAUGAGAACCUCCACACUAUUUGACAGGAUGAUGGAUUGUCUCUUGUAAAGCUUUCAGAAACUGAACUUGAAAUGUCAGAGUGUUCCUACAUACACACACAAACAUCCAGAAAACUGCCUAGUGACCCAAGGCCUGUUUCACAAUUGCAAAAGCACCUGCAAGUGCACCUCAGCCAAAAGGUUCGUGACCCAUGCCAUUAGCUUCCACCACACCUGACUUACUCUGUCUCACAAGACAUUCUUCCACUAGCAGAAAGUACUGAAAUCUACCACUCCCAUCCUGCAGGUAAAGAAUUAAGUAAACCGAGCUGUAAGACUUCAAUUACUGACCUAGAAAUCGGGCAUUUCAUUUAGCUAACAGUAACAUGGACACUCACCCUAAACAAAACCAGAAGCUUUAAUUCCCGACACUAGAACACCCCAAGCAGGGAACAGAUAAAGUGACUGUAAAUAAAAGUGGCCUUCUCACACAUUCAUCUUGACAAAGGCUAUUCUCUUGGCUAAGGCAGUCUUUCAUCAUCCUUGUGGGUCCCCCUUCUAACUCAGAAUGUUGGGAUAUUGUGAUAUUCCAUUGGAGAUCUUUUCAUCUUAGAUGUUUCUAUGUGCAUACUGAGCUGUAGCAGAUGACUGAACGGGUUAAGUGUGAUUCCCAACCUACUGCAAAUCAAGGCACCAGAUCAGCUAAACCAAAAAUUCUUGUCAGAUCCCUGUUUGCAUUACUUACCUAUAAAAAUGAGACAUCCAAUACUCCAGCAAUUCAGAAUCUCAGGUGGUUGUUCUGAUGCUUCUGGAAAACUUUCUUCAACCUGUGCCAUCCUAAGUAUGUCUUGCCCCAAGCUCUUAGAAGCACAGGAUGAAGACUGGGUAGGAAGUGUCAGUUUGGUAACUUACUUUCUAGAAGGCAAAUCCUAACUGCUAGGAAAUUUAGAAAAACUGCAUAAGCUUCCUGAAUCAGUGGCAGCACACAAACAGCAGUUCUAAGGCAUUCCAAUGCUGGCUAUCAAAACACUUUUGACAAGCCUUCUCUGGAAAAUCAAUAGAGCUGUUCAGAGUCCUCGGAGAGCAGAGCUUUAAGAUCAGUGACCAUAAACACUCGAUUAAGUGCUCCUGAAUUUGGAUUGAACAGCUGUCCUAAUUUUAGAUGCUCACUGCAUUUAUAAAUACAUCAGAGAUGAUUGGAACAGUUUUAAAAAUUAGGUAACUGCAGAGCUGGGAGCACUGCAUGGUACCCAGAGGCAGGGGCCAAUGCUUUGUUUAAAGGCCAGCAGAACCCCCAGACAAGAUAACCAUACUGCACAUGUACAGUCAAGGCAGUUGUUGCCAGCAGAGAAGCAAUGGGCACGAGCAGCCUCUGGCAUUCUUUUGAGUUCUUGGAUUCAUCCUUGGUAGAAACCAGGUUUGUCUUCCACUUUAACAAAAAUUAAACCUUGACAGAAAACUAGUGCUAGAAGCACAGUCAUGCUCAAUAAGAAACGAGGAAGAGAAUGUUUUCCUCUGUACUUUGAGCUGACUGCAUUCUGAAUGGCAACUCAGACAUGGCAGUUUCAGAAAAGCCCAAGUGUGAGACUAAGUUACCCCAAUGUAGCAACUGACAGGGAAUAAACUCCAAAAUAAUUAAAAGAAAGCAAACAGGUUUAGUUGUCCGAACAAGGAAUUUUAAUUUUAGGUCAACUAUUGAACUAGGUCAACAUCCAGUUCACAAUGUCUACAGAUAGUGGGCAUAGCCAGUCACUACGGUAAGUUUAUUGAAGCACCAAGCUCCACACAAGACUGUAAAAUACAUUUUAAACUACUAGUAAGAAAGCUUCUUCAAGUCAACAAUACUAUUAAGGGCCAGAGUUUAAGGACUAAGUUUUCACCUUCCAAGCUAUUUUAAGACAGCCAAUCCAUUGCAUAAGCAAACCAAACUGCUACAUACUGAAACACAGAGCAGCAACUGCAUUGAACAAUUCCUGUAAAUAAUUCAAGGAUACAUUGAAACAGUAUGGGUAAAUUGUAAUUUUUUAUUGGAAAACAAAUAUACAACUUGGAAUGGAUUUGAGGCAAAUCGUGCCAUAAGCAGAUUUUUUUGAAAAUAAGUGGCUAAACAAAGUUUAAAAAGCAUAGUAACAAGAGGAGAAAAUGUUUUCUGGCACAGGACCAGCAGUACAAAAAAACUUGUGUACGAGUACCUGGAUAAAUCACCCGUUUUGCAUUAGUGCAACUUAAGUUUCAUAUUGUUGACUGUCAAUCGUCUACAACGUUAA